ensembl:lncRNA
UGACACCGCUGCGCUCCACAUCCGUGGCAGAACUGCUGUGUGUGCACUGCCCAACCUGGACGUCACUUCUCGUGGCUGAAGUUAAAGGCAGUGAUGUUCCUCUUUGUUUAACAGCUUUGUUUUAGAACAGCAUUCAGUGCUGCUUCCGUAGUGUUUCAGCUUGCAGUGAUUUGUUCCCAAUUUCUUACCGCUGUUAGGCUGGGAUUUAGAAAGCAUUUUGUCAGCCCGGGCUCUGUCAGCUGCUUUCUGCAGCAGCCAUUUCUACCUUUUUAGUCUAAAAAGGGCCAAAAAUCUCAUUCCAUCAGCUUGUCUGCAGCAAUACUCUCCAUCUCUUCCCCUGCCUCUGAACCAGCUUGUUUUCUAUCUGUGCUUAGCCGGUACUGAAGCUGUUGAGAUGUGUACAUUCCUAUCUCCUCUUUCUAUACAUUACAAACGUGAUCAAAAGCAAUGGACAGAGCUGUGUCUGAGGGUGGUGGUUCCUAUUGGGAGUGGAUCCCAGCUGAGAUGAGCUGCAGCACGUGGGGGUUAUAGCUGCAGUAGCAGUGUCUGCGUGUCUCUGCUGUGUUCGUUGCAGGGUGUGUGAUGUGUUGAAGCAUCCAGCUGAAGUAAAGCCAGUUGCUGAAGGUGUAGAUACUGAAGAGGCAAAUUGGUUUAAAAAGGAGAACGCCAUCAUUCUCCCUGGCAAAGUUUCUAUCAUCAAUGCUAUUCGUAGUAAAUCGUGCUGUGCUGGGGUAAAUCCAAAGCUGGACUGACUCAGCUGUAUGUUUUAUGAGGAGGAGAGAUGGUGCCUGUGCUGUCAGACCAGCAGUAGAAAGCUGGGAGGGCAGGGAGGAGCCGCCUCUUCCUCCAGGAGAGCUGACUGUACUGAAAGCCUAAUGCUGCUGGAGCCAUCUGAACCUGAACCUGCCCCUCUGCACCCGCAGUUUACUCAACCCCCCCAUAAGUAACUGCUGCAGAAACUCAGAGAUGAGGGGAAAGCUGUUUUCCUGUAUUUCUUUAAGCAAGAGUGCCUGUUCACCUCCACGGCCGUGCUGGGCAGCAGUGGCAGUGCCUGUGACAGCCGUUCAGUCCCAUCAGCUGUGUUCUCUGAAUCCCAAAGCCUCCCUUCCUGGUUCAAAACACACAGAUUCAGUGGGUCGGUGGUGCUCCAAACAACAGAGCCGUGGGGUUCUGUGAGCAGUGUGUGACCCCUUUGCAGAACACAGAUGCUCCAAUGGAUUUCUGGCUGUGGUCUUUGGGUGGUUGGUACAGAAGCCACUGAGGGAGCUCCCAUGUUAGCUUCGGUGUCCUGGGCUGCUUGGGUCAGACUUGAACUCGUUGAGAGCAAGCAUGUGCCUUUCUCUGAUCCGAGACAGAAGCUGGAGGAGCUGGCAGUUUGCACUGGUUGAUAGUGGGCUCAGUGUUCUUGAACUGCUUUUAAGGCUUGAAGUCCUUGGUCAGAAUGGAGUUGGUUUUGUGUUGAGUUACUUAAAGGGAGCCCUGAAUUGGUGGCUGUAACUACCCAGAGAGGAGAAGCUUUAAAGUAAAUGCUUUCUGGAGAGCAAUGUCACCAAACAAACACACUUCAGUGUCACCAAACACUUCCUGGUAGGCUUGCAUUUUUUUUUUCAAAUGAAAUUUAACUCUGAUGUGUUUCUCCAUAGAGAGCCAUUCAUGCUGCCUUUAUUUGAAUGCUGCCUGUCCCGUGGUGUCUCUGCUGUGCUCCUGCAGCUUCCCUGCUGACUGUAAGGCCGUGAGGAAUGUUGUUGGCGGAGGUUGGGAAGUGGGAAUGUGGUACUGAGCACUGAACAUCACUGAAGGUCAGUGCUUGCUCCGCUCAGUUGGCCAAGCAAUACCCACUGGAGCAGUGCUACAGCUAAGGAGCCUUUGGUGUUUGGAGCGUGCCAGCAAAGCAGUGUUUGUGCAGUGCAGAGGAGAACGGAGUGCUGAGCAGAGCUGCUGUGUGAGGCUGAGGUGAGGUUUGGCUGCUGGCAGUUUGCACACAGCUGCCUUCCUCGGGGCUUUGGUUGUGUUCAUUGCAGCCUCCUGGGGCUGUAGCUUUCAGGUUCCUUUGGAUUUGCUUUCUGCUCCUCAGCAGAGCGCUGCCUUUUCUGCACUUGUCAGUGUUCGAUCCGUUGAAUCUCACCUCGAGGAAACUCCACGUUGUUUUCCUGUAGGUAAACCUGCUUUUAGACGCUGCAUUUUCUUGUCUGUUCCACGGGCAAUCCUGCAAAGCCUCAGCACAGCAAUAGCAUUGACAGAAUGGGUGCUCAGUGAUCUCACAGCUGUGAGCAGAGGCACAGUGGGGCCUCACCAUGCAGCUCUCCUGUCCGUGCUGGUUGGUUUCCUCCCUUGCUGUGAGCAGUUUGGCUUCCCCGGGUGUGUGAAAUGGGUGGAGAAAUGGCCCUGUAAUUUGUUUUGUGGGGGAGAACUCAUCUGUUAGAAUGCACCGAGGCAUCUGAUCAUAGAUAAGAGUGUUGUCAUGGAGAGGUGUCACUUAAAGCUUUCAUUGUAAUUGGUGGCAAUUGGUGAUGAGGCAGUUUGGGUAUUGGAACAUCUCUGGGAGGCGGUGGCUCAGGUGGCAGUGUGUGCCAUAAGCAUUGCUGUGUCGGUGUAGGAGACUGCUGGGAGCAGCGUUGUGCAAAUACACCCUUUGCAUAUUGAAUACCACCUGUUCAAAUGAAAAACAAAACUAUUGUGCUGUUUGGGAUUCCUUCUCAAAAUAAAGUUCUAAUAAAC